rnacentral:rRNA from 1 species
UACGUAGGGAGCGAGCGUUAUCCGGAUUUAUUGGGUGUAAAGGGUGCGUAGGCGGUAUAUUAAGUCUAAGGUUUAAGUCCGAAGCUCAACUUCGGUUCGCCUUAGAAACUGAUUAACUAGAGUAUGGUAGAGGCAAGUGGAAUUUCUAGUGUAGCGGUAAAAUGCGUAGAUAUUAGAAGGAACACCAGUGGCGAAGGCGGCUUGCUGGGCCAUUACUGACGCUGCGGCACGAAAGCGUGGGGAGCAAAUA